rnacentral:rRNA from 1 species
UACGUAGGGGGCAAGCGUUGUCCGGAAUUAUUGGGCGUAAAGGGCGCGUAGGCGGUUUGGCAAGUCUAAUGUGAAAUCUUCGGGCUCAACUCGAAGUCUGCAUUGGAAACUGCCGGGCUUGAGUAUGGGAGAGGUGAGUGGAAUUUCCGGUGUAGCGGUGAAAUGCGUAGAGAUCGGCAGGAACACCCAGGGGGAAACCAGUCGACUGGGCAUCUACUGACGCUGAGGUGCGAGAGCGUGGGGAGCGAACCGG